rnacentral:misc_RNA from 1 species
GAUGAAGAACGUAGCGAAAUGCGAUACGUAAUGUGAAUUGCAGAAUUCAGUGAAUCAUCGAGUCUUUGAACGCACAUUGCGCCCCCUGGUAUUCCGGGGGGCAUGCCUGUCCGAGCGUCAUUGCUGCCCUCAAGCACAGCUUGUGUGUUGGGCCUCCGUCCUCCUCCCGGGGGACGGGCCCGAAAGGCAGCGGCGGCACCGCGUCCGGUCCUCGAGCGUAUGGGGCUUCGUCACCCGCUCUUGUAGGCCCGGCCGGCGCUUGCCGACACAUCAAUCUUUUUUCCAGGUUGACCUCGGAUCAGGUAGGGAUACCCGCUGAACUUAAGCAUAUCAAUAAGCGGAGGA